rnacentral:rRNA from 1 species
GGCCUGUUGAUAAUAAUUUCAGGUUUGACCUGCCCAAUGAGGAUUUUAAUGGCCGCAGUAUAUUGACUGUGCAAAGGUAGCAUAAUCAUUAGUUUUUUAAUUGGAAACUGGAAUGAAAGGUUUGAUGAGAAAAUUUCUGUCUCUGGGGAAAUUUAUUAGAAUUUUAUUUUUAAGUUAAAAAGCUUAAAUGUUUAUAGAAGACGAGAAGACCCUAUAGAGUUUUAUAUUUAUAAAAAUUUAAAUUUUUUAGUGAAAAAGGUGUUAAAUUUUUAUUAGUAUUUUGUUGGGGUGAUAGAAAAAUUUAAUAAACUUUUUUUUAAUAGAAACAUUAAUUUAUGAAUUUAUGAUCCUUAUAUUAAGAUUAUAAGAUUAAAUUACCUUAGGGAUAACAGCGUAAUUUUUUUAAGAGUUCUUAUCGUAAAAAAAGAUUGCGACCUCGAUGUUGGAUUAAAAUUAAUUUCUGGUGAAGAAGCUAGGAUAUUAGGUCUGUUCGACCUUUAAAAUUUUACAUGAUCUGAGUUUAAACCGGCGUGAG